CCUACGGGUGGCAGCAGUGGGGAAUAUUGGACAAUGGGCGAAAGCCUGAUCCAGCCAUGCCGCGUGUGUGAAGAAGGCCUUCGGGUUGUAAAGCACUUUCAGUGGGGAAGAAAGCCUUGGGGCUAAUACCCUCGAGGAAGGACAUCACCCACAGAAGAAGCACCGGCUAACUCCGUGCCAGCAGCCGCGGUAAUACGGAGGGUGCGAGCAUUAAUCGGAAUUACUGGGCGUAAAGCGCGCGUAGGCGGUCUGAUAAGCCGGUUGUGAAAGCCCCGGGCUCAACCUGGGAACGGCAUCCGGAACUGUCAGGCUAGAGUGCAGGAGAGGAAGGUAGAAUUCCCGGUGUAGCGGUGAAAUGCGUAGAGAUCGGGAGGAAUACCAGUGGCGAAGGCGGCCUUCUGGACUGACACUGACGCUGAGGUGCGAAAGCGUGGGUAGCAAACAGGAUUAGAUACCCGGGUAGUC
rnacentral:rRNA from 1 species